GUCCUUGUAGCUUAAUCCACUUCAAAGCAUAACACUGAAGCUGUUAAGAUGRCCACCCAUAUAUCCAAGGACA
rnacentral:tRNA from 1 species